rnacentral:rRNA from 1 species
GUCCCGGUUUAAGCGUGUAGGCUGGUUUUCCAGGCAAAUCCGGAAAAUCAAGGCUGAGGCGUGAUGACGAGGCACUACGGUGCUGAAGCAACAAAUGCCCUGCUUCCAGGAAAAGCCUCUAAGCAUCAGGUAACAUCAAAUCGUACCCCAAACCGACACAGGUGGUCAGGUAGAGAAUACCAAGGCGCUUGAGAGAACUCGGGUGAAGGAACUAGGCAAAAUGGUGCCGUAACUUCGGGAGAAGGCACGCUGAUAUGUAGGUGAAGUCCCUUGCGGAUGGAGCUGAAAUCAGUCGAAGAUACCAGCUGGCUGCAACUGUUUAUUAAAAACACAGCACUGUGCAAACACGAAAGUGGACGUAUACGGUGUGACGCCUGCCCGGUGCCGGAAGGUUAAUUGAUGGGGUCAGCGCAAGCGAAGCUCUUGAUCGAAGCCCCGGUAAACGGCGGCCGUAACUAUAACGGUCCUAAGGUAGCGAAAUUCCUUGUCGGGUAAGUUCCGACCUGCACGAAUGGCGUAAUGAUGGCCAGGCUGUCUCCACCCGAGACUCAGUGAAAUUGAACUCGCUGUGAAGAUGCAGUGUACCCGCGGCAAGACGGAAAGACCCCGUGAACCUUUACUAUAGCUUGACACUGAACAUUGAGCCUUGAUGUGUAGGAUAGGUGGGAGGCUUAGAAGUGUGGACGCCAGUCUGCAUGGAGCCGACCUUGAAAUACCACCCUUUAAUGUUUGAUGUUCUAACGUUGACCCGUAAUCCGGGUUGCGGACAGUGUCUGGUGGGUAGUUUGACUGGGGCGGUCUCCUCCUAAAGAGUAACGGAGGAGCACGAAGGUUGGCUAAUCCUGGUCGGACAUCAGGAGGUUAGUGCAAUGGCAUAAGCCAGCUUGACUGCGAGCGUGACGGCGCGAGCAGGUGCGAAAGCAGGUCAUAGUGAUCCGGUGGUUCUGAAUGGAAGGGCCAUCGCUCAACGGAUAAAAGGUACUCCGGGGAUAACAGGCUGAUACCGCCCAAGAGUUCAUAUCGACGGCGGUGUUUGGCACCUCGAUGUCGGCUCAUCACAUCCUGGGGCUGAAGUAGGUCCCAAGGGUAUGGCUGUUCGCCAUUUAAAGUGGUACGCGAGCUGGGUUUAGAACGUCGUGAGACAGUUCGGUCCCUAUCUGCCGUGGGCGCUGGAGAACUGAGGGGGGCUGCUCCUAGUACGAGAGGACCGGAGUGGACGCAUCACUGGUGUUCGGGUUGUCAUGCCAAUGGCACUGCCCGGUAGCUAAAUGCGGAAGAGAUAAGUGCUGAAAGCAUCUAAGCACGAAACUUGCCCCGAGAUGAGUUCUCCCUGACUCCUUGAGAGUCCUGAAGGAACGUUGAAGACGACGACGUUGAUAGGCCGGGUGUGUAAGCGCAGCGAUGCGUUGAGCUAACCGGUACUAAUGAACCGUGAGG